rnacentral:ncRNA from 1 species
UACAGGGGAGCUUGUGCUUGCAGGCUGAGAGGAAGUAAUCAACUUCGACCCUUUUUACCUGAUACGGAUAAUGCCGUCGUAGGAAGUCAGAAAUG